CAGCCGUAAACUAUGCGCGUUAGGUGUAUCGGUGACCACGAGUCACCGAGGUGCCGAAGGGAAACCGUGAAACGUGCCGCCUGGGAAGUACGGUCGCAAGGCUGAAACUUAAAGGAAUUGGCGGGGGAGCACCGCAACGGGAGGAGCAUGCGGUUUAAUUGGAUUCAACACCGUAAAACUCACCAGGGAAGGCUGUUACAUGAAGGCCGAGAUGAAGACUCUGCUAGAUUUUCAGAGAGGUGGUGCAUGGCGUCAGUGACU
rnacentral:rRNA from 1 species